UACGUAGGGUGCAAGGCGUUAUCCGGAAUUAUUGGGCGUAAGAGCUCGUAGGCGGUUUGUCGCGUCUGCUGUGAAAACUGGAGGCUCAACCUCCAGCCUGCAGUGGGUACGGGCAAACUAGAGUGCGGUAGGGGAGAUUGGAAUUCCUGGUGUAGCGGUGAAUGCGCAGAUAUCAGGAGGAACACCGAUGGCGAAGGCAGAUCUCUGGGCCGGUAACUGACGCUGAGGAGCGAAAGCAUGGGGAGC
rnacentral:rRNA from 1 species